GACGAACGCUGGCGGCGUGCUUAACACAUGCAAGUCGAACGGUGAAGGGGAGCUUGCUCCCCGGAUCAGUGGCGAACGGGUGAGUAACACGUGGGCAACCUGCCCCAGACUUCGGGAUAACGCUUCGAAAGAGGUGCUAAUACCGGAUACGAACUCCUUGGGCAUCCUGGGAGUUGGAAAGUUUUUCGGUCUGGGAUGGGCCCGCGGCCUAUCAGCUUGUUGGUGAGGUAACGGCUCACCAAGGCGACGACGGGUAGCCGGCCUGGGAGGGCGACCGGCCACACUGGGACUGAGACACGGCCCAGACUCCUACGGGAGGCAGCAGUGGGGAAUCUUGCGCAAUGGGCGAAAGCCUGACGCAGCCAUGCCGCGUGUAUGAUGAAGGUCUUAGGAUUGUAAAAUACUUUCACCGGUGAAGAUAAUGACUGUAGCCGGAGAAGAAGCCCCGGCUAACUUCGUGCCAGCCGCCGCCGUAAGAC
rnacentral:rRNA from 1 species